AAAAGAAUUAGGAACAAAAGUACACAUUUAUCUUCCUCAGACUCGGAUUCAGAAGACAAUAUGAAUUGCGUCAAACAACCAAAUGCUAGUCAAAAUAUGAAAGAUGUGGAGUCAAGAACACAACCUUGAGAUGUUGAAAGAUUAUUUUUUAAAAGUAUCUCUUCCUACUGAAGUGUCAUCCCAAAAAUCUCAAUUGAAAUCUGUUAACGAACGUGGUAGAAGUGAAGUCGGUAUCUCACAAACUUCAAAAAGUUUUUCCGAAUCCAACCUAUUUCAUGGUGAAUAUGGUAUGAUUAUUUUUAUAAACAUUACUAUUAUCUAUUGUUUUUGUAGAUGAAAAUUUCUAAAGGGAAAUAUUGAUAGAGCACAAUAUUUUGAACAUCAAGAUGUACCAGCUUUCACAAGACAUAUCUAAUAUGAACUUGAUUAAGAGCAGGCAAGAUGAAGAUCCUGUUCAACAGGAAUCAAUAUUGGAUCAAUUCCAAUUACCUCUGAGAACUGAAGAAGAUCUCAGUCUGUUUGAAGAUUUUCUUUAGGAUAAGGAGAAUGUAGCUAAAAGGAUGACCAAAGAGUGCAGAAUUCUCACCCCAUUGUUGUGAGCUUGGAGACCUGUCAAACUUCUGUUUCUCAGGGAUCUUUUUUCAAUAGAACAGCUGAACUUUGGAACUCCUCAACGAGAGAGGUUUUUCCUAAUGCUUAUAAACUUCAAAAAUUUAAAAUGAAUGUUAGUUAAUUCGUAUCUCCUGUUUCCCAAAUGUUUUCCAGUUCUAUUCACUCAACAUGUUUUU